rnacentral:lncRNA from 10 species
AGACGCCUGAGUCGGAGAGACAGGGGGCAGAGGUUGCCAAGCCCUGGCUGCCACUUGUCAGGUUCCCUGUGCUAGACAUGCAUAAUCUGUAUUCCAUCACUGGGUACCCGGACCCACCAGGUAAGGCCCCGGCCAGGCUGGGGCUGGGGCCUAGGUGUGGUCAGGACCCAGGGUACAGAAUCCCCACCAUGGGGCAGCUGAGGCAGAGACCAGGGCUUGAGGGAUGGAGGGAGGAGGGAAUGGCUGGGCUCUGACUUGCCUUUCCCCUGGAAGGGACCAUGGAGGAGGAGGAGGAGGAUGAUGACUAUGAGAACUCAACACCUCCCUACAAGGACCUUCCUCCCAAGCCAGGUAAGAGGACUUUUUGGAGUGUGACCUGGGGGAAUACAGGGAAUGGGGUCUCCAGUGGGCAUUGGUUGGGCAUUGUAGACACAUAGUCAGUCUCCUCUGUAUCCAGCCCAUGCCGGGCACUGUGGAACCCACACCCUGCCCAGGACGACCUGUCAGUCUGAUGGCGGAGGUGGGUUUGGGCACAGUCUUGGUGAGCAGGGUGAGAGAGGAGGGGUCAGGAGAUUGGCAAAAUCCUUGGGGGACUGAGGGCUCAAAUAGAGGAAGGGACUUUGGGGUGGGGCUUGAGGGAUGAGUAGACAUAUCUUAAGAAGAGAAGUCCAGGAGAGAACAGUUAGGUGCAAAGUCUCUGAGUUACAAAAGCUGGUGCUUGAGAAACUGGGAGUGGACUGUGGGCUCCCAGUCUCCUCACCUUUCUACCCAAAGCCCAGGUUUUAUUUAGACUUGGAUCUCAAACCCAAGGCAUAGCACAGGGUUCAACAAGAGACUGAUAAGUGGUUGUUAAAGUGGAGGUUUGGGCCAGCUGCAGUGGUGUGCGUCUGUAGUCUUGAUACUUUGGGAGGUCAAGGUGGGAGGAUCGCUUGAGGACAGGAAUUUGAGACCAGCCAGGGCAACAUAGCAAGACCCUAUCUCUGCCAAAAAAAAAAAAAAAUAGAGGUUUGGGCCGUGUGUGGUGGCACAUGUCUGUAGUCCCAGCUACUUGGGAGGCUGAGUCAGUAGGAUCACUUGAGCCCAGGAGUUCUGGGCGAUUGUGAACUAGGCGAUCGGGCGUCUGCACUAAGUUUGGCAUCAAUAUGGUGAUGUUUUGGGAGCAGGGGACCACCAGGUUGCCUAAGGUGUCUGAGGAGGGGUUUCCAGGUUGGAAACGGAGCAGUUCGACACCCCCAAGCUGAUCAGUAGUGCGACUGCUCCUGUGAGUAGCCGCUGCACUCCAGCUUGGGCAGCAUAGCGCGACUCCACU